rnacentral:rRNA from 1 species
AAACUGAAGAGUUUGAUCCUGGCUCAGAUUGAACGCUGGCGGCAUGCCUUACACAUGCAAGUCGAACGGCAGCACGGGUGCUUGCACCUGGUGGCGAGUGGCGAACGGGUGAGUAAUACAUCGGAACAUGUCCUGUAGUGGGGGAUAGCCCGGCGAAAGCCGGAUUAAUACCGCAUACGAUCCAUGGAUGAAAGCGGGGGACCUUCGGGCCUCGCGCUAUAGGGUUGGCCGAUGGCUGAUUAGCUAGUUGGUGGGGUAAAGGCCUACCAAGGCGACGAUCAGUAGCUGGUCUGAGAGGACGACCAGCCACACUGGGACUGAGACACGGCCCAGACUCCUACGGGAGGCAGCAGUGGGGAAUUUUGGACAAUGGGCGAAAGCCUGAUCCAGCAAUGCCGCGUGUGUGAAGAAGGCCUUCGGGUUGUAAAGCACUUUUGUCCGGAAAGAAAUCCUUG